rnacentral:rRNA from 1 species
UACGUAGGGUGCAAGCGUUAAUCGGAAUUACUGGGCGUAAAGCGUGCGCAGGCGGUUUCGUAAGUCUGUCGUGAAAUCCCCGGGCUUAACCUGGGAAUGGCGAUGGAGACUGCGAGGCUAGAGUUUGGCAGAGGGGGGUAGAAUUCCACGUGUAGCAGUGAAAUGCGUAGAUAUGUGGAGGAACACCGAUGGCGAAGGCAGCCCCCUGGGCUAACACUGACGCUCAUGCACGAAAGCGUGGGGAGCAAACAGG